rnacentral:rRNA from 1 species
AGCGAACGCUGGCGGCAGGCCUAACACAUGCAAGUCGAACGGGUUCCUUCGGGGACCAGUGGCAGACGGGUGAGUAACACGUGGGAACGUACCCUUCAGUUCGGAACAACCCAGGGAAACUUGGGCUAAUAUCGGACACGCCCUUCGGGGGAAAGAUUUAUCGCUGAAGGAUCGGCCCGCGUCUGAUUAGCUGGUUGGUGAGGUAACGGCUCACCAAGGCGACGAUCAGUAGCUGGUCUGAGAGGAUGAUCAGCCACACUGGGACUGAGACACGGCCCAGAAUACUACGGGAGGCAGCAGUGGGGAAUAUUGGACAAUGGGCGAAAGCCUGAUCCAGCCAUGCCGCGUGAGUGAUGAAGGCCCUAGGGUUGUAAAGCUCUUUCGGCGGGGACGAUAAUGACGGUACCCGCAGAAGAAGCCCCGGCUAACUUCGUGCCAGCCGCCGCGGUAAUAC